CCUACGGGAGGCAGCAGUGGGGAAUAUUGCACAAUGGGGGAAACCCUGAUGCAGCGACGCCGCGUGAGUGAAGAAGUAUUUCGGUAUGUAAAGCUCUAUCAGCAGGGAAGAAGAAAGACGGUACCUGACUAAGAAGCCCCGGCUAACUACGUGCCAGCAGCCGCAGUAAUACGUAGGGGGCAAGCGUUAUCCGGAUUUACUGGGUGUAAAGGGAGCGUAGACGGCUGUGCAAGUCUGAAGUGAAAGCCCAGGGCUCAACCCUGGGACUGCUUUGGAAACUGUGGAGCUAGAGUGCUGGAGUACAGGAGGGGCAGGCGGAAUUCCUAGUGUAGCGGUGAAAUGCGUAGAUAUUAGGAGGAACACCGGUGGCGAAGGCGGCCUGCUGGACUGUGACUGACGUUGAGGCCCGAAGGCGUGGGGAGCAAACAGGAUUAGAUACCCGAGUAGUC
rnacentral:rRNA from 1 species